UUUCGGUUGUCGAUGGGGAUGCGUUCCAUUAGGCAGUUGGCGGGGUAACGGCCCACCAAACCAACGAUGGAUAGGGGUUCUGAGAGGAAGGUCCCCCACAUUGGAACUGAGACACGGUCCAAACUCCUACGGGAGGCAGCAGUGAGGAAUAUUGGUCAAUGGACGAGAGUCUGAACCAGCCAAGUAGCGUGAAGGAUGACUGCCCUAUGGGUUGUAAACUUCUUUUAUACGGGAAUAAAGUGAGCCACGUGUGGCUUUUUGUAUGUACCGUAUGAAUAAGGAUCGGCUAACUCCGUGCCAGCAGCCGCGGUAAUACGGAGGAUCCGAGCGUUAUCCGGAUUUAUUGGGUUUAAAGGGAGCGUAGGCGGGUUGUUAAGUCAGUUGUGAAAGUUUGCGGCUCAACCGUAAAAUUGCAGUUGAUACUGGCGACCUUGAGUGCAACAGAGGUAGGCGG
rnacentral:rRNA from 1 species